rnacentral:miRNA from 1 species
GUUAUGGAGAGCCUCUGUU